UAAUCUCAGUGUUAAAGUAUAGGGGACUGCCAAAAUUGCCAGAGGAUUUUCCCAUCCCUGCUACAAGAAAAGCUGAUGUUCUUGAUUUUCUGCACUACAUUUUUGGAUUUCAGAGAUGACUCUCUAGUCACUGAAGUGGAGCCUUAUAUUCCUUUUAAUAUCAACCCAGCAGGAAUGCAGCCUGUUCUUACCACUAAUUAUCUGUUGGCCGUCCCCAGCAUUCUUGCUUUACAGAUGACGUUAUAGUCACUGGGGUCUUAACUGCAAGGUGGUCGCCUGACUUAAAAGAUGUUCGCUGCGACCUUGAUCCUGUGUUGAUUGCUAAUCAUGUGAGGUAAAUGUAACAGCUCUGUUUGAAAGAAGAAACAUUUUUCGUUGUUGAGAUGGUUGUUGUUCCAUUGGAGUCAUACAUGGUACUAAAGAGAGGUAGUUCUUUUAAUUUCAUAAACUCUGCUUAGCCUUGGUGAACCUUGAUCCCAUCUUUCUUAUGAUGCAUGGGAUUUCACUUAUGCAGCUAGUUGAUGUUUCGAAGGGAUAGAAAAUGAUUUGGUGGUAACUCUUUUAAGGGAUGCUAAAGUAGUAUAAGAUAGAUUGAAAUAACUACCGAUACUGAAAAGAGGCUCAAAACUUGUUACAAACUUACAAAUAUAUUUCUAUAUUAAAAUAAUGCGAAUAGGUUUUUGGAAAAAACCAUAAAGUAGAAAACAAUUUUGUAUUUCAACUUAUCUAAGUAUCAAAAUUGGUUAGAAAUUUUUCUCUUUCUUUCUUUCUUUUUUUUGGAGUGAAGCUUUGGUCACUAUAUGCACUUGACAUACUUUUUAUACACAUAUUUAGGAGAACAAAUGAGCAGAAAUCGGAUAUUACUAUUCCUCAUGAUGUCAUUAUGAAAUUCAAUCAAUUUUAGAACGAGUUUAAGGAUACCCCUUUGAAAGGUAAGGCAUCGUUGAUUAAUAUAUAUCAUUUUAUAAAUGAGUGUUCUUCUAUCAAUUCUUCAGCAUCAAUCAAUUAGAGAUCUUCAUUAAAAAAAAAAGUAUUGGAAACUAGGCCCCCUUAUAUGUAAGACUGUUAUGACUUCAAUUUUUUUUAAUGAAAAUUAUUCAGGGAGAAAUGCAAUAUUACAAGGUGUUUGUCCACAAAUUUCAUGAUUUUUUUAUCUUAAGUUAAAGAUUUUGAAUGACCGUUAAACAUUCACUACCAGCACCUUCUCUUUUUUCAACUUAGUUGCAUUAACACUUAUUGGAGGUGUGCAACAUGUUGAUGCUUCUGGAACCAAGGUACGAGGAGAGUCUCAUUUACUUUUGGUUGGAGACCCAGGUACCUUUUCGAUUUUCAUUGCAUACUUAUAGGGUUCAUUACUUAAAUAAAAUUCUAUCAAUUCAAGACUACUGCAUUUAUGCUAUGCUUCAGUUGAAGAAGCUUUCUUUUCUUCAAAAUUCUGAUAGGAAAUUAACAAUCACUUAAAUCUAGAAAAAUAAGAACACCAUUGUAUUUUGUCUAACUGAUUCAUGAUAUUUUAUGAGUGUCUAAAGCCUGUAACCUAUAUGAAUUUUCUUGUACAAUACAAUUAGGGUUAUUACAAACAAGUUAUCCAUAGUAUUGUAUCGAGUGGUCCUUUAAUGCAAAUAAUAGGUAGGGUAACUAAUGUAAAUAGUCUAAGGGUGGGAAAAUAUAAAUUUUAGAGAGAAAUUUUGAGAGCAAGAAAGUAUAGAAGAAAGCUCCAGGACUGGACUUAAAUAGUUCAAAACUUCAGGGUUUUAUUUUCUCAAUAGAAGACAUUUCUUUGCAGGUUGGAUCCAUGGACAAAUGCAAUAUUUGCCAAACCAUGUUAGAUAUUGGUAUUGAUGCUUUUGAUAUGUUCUAGUGCUCUUGAUGUGUGUUGUUGGGUGUUAUUCUAAAGGUUAUUAGUAUAAGAGGUAUUUUCUCCCUUAUAACAAUUGAGAUAUGGAUUGCACGCCAUUUUAUAACCUGUCUUUUCGGGUAACACAUGCAUUAGCUACAUUAAUUAUAACUACAGAAAAUUAGAAUUAUUGAAAUUUUCCUUGAAAAAUAGAAAACUGCCCAACCAUUAUUAAUUUUUCCAAUAAAAAUAGUUUUUCAAAGCUGAAAAUUCUUCUCUAGUCCUUGUUAAUUUAUUCUUGUUUGGCUUGAGUAAUGCAGCUCAGUUUAAUUGUUUGUUGCUUUACCCUUCCCUUGGGGUUUCUGGACCUUUUAUUUUGCUCAUUAUAUAGGUGGGAGUUAUCUUAUUAUUUCAAUAUACCCAAAUAUAUGUAUUUAUAUUACUAUCAUUGGUGAACAACUACUAAUGAGUUCAGAUUCUUUUUUUGAAUCUUUAUGUAAUCAUUAAAGCAUUAUAGGGAAAAAGUUACAUGUAUAUGUAUAUAUGUAGUAAAUUUUUUUAAGGCUUUUCUCAGGUACCGAGAAAUCUCAGUUCUUGAAAUUUGCUGCAAAGUUAAGUAGCAGCUCUGUUGUCACUACUCGCUUAGGAAGCACUAGUGCUGGACUCACUGUCACUGCAGUCAAGGAUGGAGGUUGGGGAUCGAAUUGGCAAGGAGCAUUGCAAAGGUAAUUUGCAAGAGGAAAAUAAGCUUUAGAGGCGGUAAGAUUCGUGACGCUUAGAGUAUGUGUAUCGAUGUUGAAUGGAGUCAAGG